rnacentral:lncRNA from 1 species
UUUGCUCCUCUAGGGGAUCCCGCCCAGGGAUGAUGCACCCACCAGAGAGGCAGAUCCUUUUGAGGAGAAUGAGGGCGUGGCUACAACUCUGCUCUCGCUCCAGUACUUUCUGGGAAAAGGCAAAAACGGGUCCCUUACUGGAAGGAGCUGGGAGCAACAGAAGCAGGCGGCGCAAUGGCGAAAGGUCGCAGGCAGCCAGGAGCCCGCAUACACAGACAGUCACGAAGGGCCUCGCUCACGGACGCGCUCCGGCAGACACGCCCAAACUCCACCGGCUCCCACUCCAUUCUUCUCGCAGUUGGGCUAGGAUGGAAUCCUUUCUAUUCCUUAUUUUGAUGAACGCCUUGCAAUUGUCGGGAAAGGGGCUGCGUGAGGUGGUGGUAGAGGCCUGACACAUACCCCUGCCUGCCCACUCGGCAGUGUCCCGCGCCCUUGGCCUGGGCCUCAGGCUCCUUAGGGACUGUAGAGCUGGGUGUCUGCGCUUCUGUGUGUGUGCCUGGAUCUGGCUCUCUGGCGCUCUCUGUCUCAGUCUAGCUCUUUCUCCCUCAGCCGUUCUCUUGGGCUCUGUGUCUCUGAUCGAGUACGUUGGACUCCUUUUCUUUAGGAAAAUUGUAUGAUUCUCCGUCCUCGCUGCUCAAACUUGAUCUAGUUCCCUGGAAUGUGUGUAUGGGUACCAGGGCCCCUUGGGAAUUUGGUGAGAGCCCGCUCAGGGGUUCUCCUGGCCACCCCCCCAAUAAAUUCCCCUUUUUCCCAACCUAGCCA